AAGAGAAAUUGCCCCUUUGGGGUAGAUCUCCCACCCUUUGUUUACAUUUACCUUUGUUGCCUUGGCAGGCCCGUCUCGUGUGACCACCGGCUUAGGCUGGUCCGUGCCUGCCAGAGGACCUCAAAACUCUCUGAUUUCAUGUCGUCUGAGCACUAUAUAAUAGUUAA
rnacentral:misc_RNA from 1 species